rnacentral:rRNA from 1 species
GCGACGAUGUGUAGCCGACCUGAGAGGAUGAUCAGCCACACUGGGACUGAGACACGGCCCAGACUCCUACGGUAGGCAGCAGUAGGGAAUCUUCCGCAAUGGGCGAAAGCCUGACGGAGCAACGCCGCGUGAGUGAUGAAGGUUUUCGGAUCGUAAAGCUCUGUUGCCAGGGAAGAAGUCGUGGAGAAGGGGGGGAAGAA